UACAGAGGGUGCGAGCGUUGUUCGGAAUUAUUGGGCGUAAAGAGCGUGUAGGCGGUUUGGUAGGUCCGUUGUGAAAACUCGAGGCUCAACCUCGAGACGCCGAUGGAAACCAUCAGACUAGAGUCCGGAAGAGGAGAGUGGAAUUCCUGGUGUAGCGGUGAAAUGCGCAGAUAUCAGGAAGAACACCCGUGGCUAAGGCGGCUCUCUAGUACGGUACUGACGCUGAGACGCGAAAGCGUGGGGAGCGAACAGG
rnacentral:rRNA from 1 species